rnacentral:rRNA from 1 species
GACGAACGCUGGCGGCGUGCCUAAUACAUGCAAGUCGAGCGGGGAUUAUGCUUGAUCGCUUCGGUGAGACGGCAUAUAUCCUAGCGGCGGACGGGUGAGUAACGCGUGGGUAAUCUACCUCGUAGUUCGGGAUAACAGGCCGAAAGGCUUGCUAAUACCGGAUGAGUUCAUGCUUAUGCAUAUAGGCAUGAAGAAAGGGCUAGCCCGCUAUGAGAUGAGCCCGCGUCCCAUUAGCUUGUUGGUGGGGUAAUGGCCUACCAAGGCAACGAUGGGUAGCCGGCCUGAGAGGGUGUACGGCCACACUGGGACUGAGACACGGCCCAGACUCCUACGGGGGGCAGCAGUAGGGAUUUUCGGCAAUGGGCGAAAGCCUGACCGAGCGACGCCGCGUGAGGGACGAAGGCCUUCGGGCUGGUAAACCUCUGUCUGGGGGGAUGGAGAACGGACGGGUACCCCCGGAGGGAACGCCCCGGCUAACUACGUGCCAGCAGCCGCGGUAAUAGUACUCU